UGUCUGCUUGUUUUUGAAUGUAGCCCAGUCUAUUUAUUUCUGCACCUGCCCAGAUGCCCAUGGCCUAACCACCGUUACAUGGUGACGUGCCCUGGUCUUCCUCUCCUGCCCUGGUAGCCCUAAAUCACAUUCAAAGACAGCCCCCCAGCCCCAAUUUGCAGAACUGUGUGAAAUUACCUCAUUUUGCCAUCGACAUAAGUUGCCUCCUGCCCGUCAUCACCACUUCCUCAGUCAACCAAUGCCAUUCUCGCACGUUGUCCCAAAGUGCUAAGGGGCUCUCAGAAGGCCAGAGUGAUUCUUCAUCUUCUGAGGUUCUUGAAAACUGAGGCCACAUCUGUACAAGAGUCACGAGGCAGGAUCGGUGGGCGGUGGUGGCAGCGGUGGGCACCUAAGCUGCUUAGGCCAAUUUUUAAUAUUAUGGGUGAAAAUAACUUCUUCCAUUUUCACUUGUAAUUCUCUCGCUAUAUUCCAUGGGGACAAAUUCUGGUCACAAGGAUCAGAAUAGACUGUAAAUAUAACAGCCCCACCCCUUUGAUGAUAGAAAGCAACAUUUUUUUUUUGUUUGUUUUUUUGUUUUUGUUUUUUUUUUAGGGAUGGCCACACUUGUUGGCCUAACUUUCCCUUCCUUUUAGGUGCUCAACUGAGCUGCUUGGUGCAUGCGAUUAGCUCGGGGGGGCUUCCCCCACCCUCUGCCACACGUGCUCAGACACUGAAGAACAUGGGAGGAGGUGGAGGAUUUGAAUUGAGGAGAGCCAUAGUAUUGACUUUAUAAAUUACCAGAACCUGCUUCUCUCUCUCUCUCUCUCUCAUCUAUUUUUGGCCUAAGUGCCUUGAGGCCCUUCUCUGGGAAAGCACAUGAACUCUUUGGAGUUCCCAGGUUCCAUUUGGUAAAUUUCCUCUAAGCCAGCUCUGAAAAUCCCCACUGCCCUCUCUCUAGUCUAAGUCUGUGGUGCCUGGGGCCUGCCUGCUCUGCUUCCUGUUUCACCCCAGUGGACUGUGAGUCAGCCUGAGCUUGUGGGGGAGGGCUGGGAGGCACCCUCAGCACCCACCUUCCCGAUACCAGGCACUUAAUGUCUCAACCCCAGAAACUGCUCCCAGAACAGUGUACCCCUCUGUAGCCCUCUCUUGAGACCCACUCUUGGCCUCUCGGAAGGUAGAUUUUAUUCCCUUUCUAUUGACGGGAUGGGACUCCAGUAUGCUACGAUCAUCUGAAUAUCUGAGGAGUCACGUCUUAUACUCUCAUGAAAAAUACGGCAGCUCGUCACGAUGAAUGAUGUUACUGUGAACAAAGCAGUUUUGAGUCGAAGCUCAUUCCAAGAAUCAGUAAAUUUCCCUAUUUUCCUGUAUCGCCUCCCCUCCCUUGUUAAAUUUAGGUUUAACAAGUCAUGAAUCAUUGUGGUUUUACUCUUGAGUAGAAUCAUUUUUCUCCUGGCAUCCUAUCGCCAGCUGAUGGAAGAAUUAAAAAGUCUGAUUAAACAGCAGUUUGACAUGAACUUAAAAUCUCAAACAUUUGAAAGAAAGGAUGAGCUACAACUUUUCAAAGUUGCUAGAAUGUUCCAGUAGGAUGGGACCUGUGGGACACCAACCUAGUUCUUCUACAGGACCAAAAAGGAAACCGGGGCCCAGAGAGGAAAGGUGGCAUGCCAAAGGUCACACGGCAGGUUCACCGAAAAAGGAACUCACAAAGCUGAAGGGGUCAAAUGAGGUUUAUGGUAGCAGAGUGACAGCCGGGCUGAGCUGAAGACUGCGUCGGCCCCGAAUGCAAGAGGACCUGAAACGUACUUGAGAAAAGAACGCAUGGAAUGAAAGUGCUGGGGAUGCUUUGGGUGUCCCCACAAGUGUUUGACACAAGAGGUGUGAAGGAGCAAGAAGGGGCCCCCACCCAUGGACCAUGUAAAGAACGUUUUGUCCCAGCCCUAUGAUACCUGCCCUCGGCCAGCGAAUCCAACCACAGUACAACUGGUGGCGCCUGUCAAAUUAAAACUGAAAUUGACUUUAAGGUAAAAAUGUAUCAUGUUCAAGAUCUAGGGCUGCGUCUUCUCAUGAGUAGUAUCUCAUGUAGCAUUUCUCAAAGCGUGGUCUGGAGACCUCCCUGCCUCAGAAUCAGGGGACCUGUGUCAAUUGCAAAUUUUGGGUCUCUAAAUCACCCGCCAAUGUGUGGGAGCGAGAGCCAAGAACUCACAUUGCAGCAACCUCCCAGGCAAUCCUGAUAUACCCCAAAGUCUGUGAGCCAUUGAACGGAAAAAAAUCUUUCAUACAUUUUUAAACCAUCACAACAAUUGUGGCAGCAGAGACUAAGAUUGGCUUCUUUUUGCUAACGUCCAUGUGAACUUGUUAACUGUAGAUCUGUCGUAAGGAAAGUUUGGAACACAAAAAGCGAGGCCUACUUAAAGUCUUUGUUUCUGCUGACUGAAAUGUGUGUCUUGUCCUUUUGCAGUUAUGGGUCAUCACGUGCCCAAGAAUGGUAUUUCUAAGAAAUUGUUCCUUUGCGUCUUC